rnacentral:rRNA from 1 species
UACAGAGGGUGCAAGCGUUAAUCGGAAUUACUGGGCGUAAAGCGCGCGUAGGUGGUUUGUUAAGUUGAAUGUGAAAUCCCCGGGCUCAACCUGGGAACUGCAUCCAAAACUGGCAAGCUAGAGUAUGGUAGAGGGUAGUGGAAUUUCCUGUGUAGCGGUGAAAUGCGUAGAUAUAGGAAGGAACACCAGUGGCGAAGGCGACUACCUGGACUGAUACUGACACUGAGGUGCGAAAGCGUGGGGAGCAAAC